GAGAUGCCUCAGCCGAGCAAAGAACCCUGCAAGAAGGAGGCCUGCGACAUUCAAGCUUGUCUCUCCAAAAAUAACUUUCUUCCUCACAAGUAAGCUAUGAUCUGCGAUUUUUCUGUUGGGUUUGUUUCCAGAACAAUCUGCGGCAAAAUAAUCUGAAGUUUUCACACUGUUUAUUGAUGUUCGUUGGAGUCUUUUGCAUGAAUCGGAGGGCUAGAAGGAUUGAACUCGAAGAAAAAUUGUUCUCUUGUAUCUCUUAAUGGAAUUCUUUCCUUUGAAUUGCCUCCCUUCGCUGUGGGAUCAAACAAAAAAUAGAUUAAUAUUGUAGGAAAAUUUUCGGAAACCUUGCGGAGGUAUCUGUAUCUUUGCGUAAGAAAUUUGUAUGAUUCUUCGUGUUGAUUUGAACUAUUUUUGUUUAAUUCGUGGAAGUUGAGGUGUGUUUCCAUGUACUUCUAAUCUGGUAUCGCUUUAUCUUCCGCGUUUUAAAGUGAUAUCAAUCUUUUUCUUUUUCUAUUUAAUAGGUUUCUUAGUCCCGAUUGAUGUUUUCAUGAUAAUAAAGCACGUGAUUCCUAUAUAAAAUGUUGUGCGUCAAUAGUUCCUAGAUUUAAUUGAACUGAAGAUCAAUCUGAGACAUUGAUUCAUUUUCACAAAGAGGUAAAAUCGAAGAAAGCUUUUCAUUGAGGUUUUGGUUGCUUACGAACUAUUUAAUUCUCAUCCAGUCUGUACAUAUUCUACUCUGAAAUUUUAGCCCCCUGCAUUAGUUCUUAAAGAUCAUCAAACCUCCAUAUUUCCUUCUUCCUCUUGUUGUUUAUUCGGGUUCCAGAGCGAUUAGUUUGUCUGAUUUUCCUUUAUUCCUGCCAGGGAAGUGGGAAUAUACUGAAGAUCAUACUUCUUAAUGAAGUCUGAUUUGGUCGAUGUGAGCUCACAAUCGAACUCUGUUUGAUGAGGUUGUGAAAACAGAGACAUGAUUGUUAGGUUGAGUCUCCUUUGUAGCAGAGAAAGUAAAGCAUAGCCAGACCCAUAAGUAGAGAACUCAAACAGUUUUCAAGUUCUACUUCUUUUACUUUCUCUCUUGUCAAUGAUAGUUUAGUCUGUGCAUGUGGAAUAUGGGCCUGCAAACCUUCUCCUUCAUUCCUCCAUUUUUCUUAUUUUACUUCUUUUUAUGGUUGUCUUAUGUUUGGCAUGUUCUGACUAGAGGUAUAAAUUUAGCACAUUUGUGAUGGAAGGUUGAUAAAAAUAUAUAUAAUCGAUCAACAGAUUUUUUGUGUGAACUAUGUUUUAGUUCAAAAUUUUGAAGUUCGCUGGUUAUUGCUUACUGGUGUUGAUCAUCAUACAUUUGACAGGUUUUAUGUCCAGUGGAUGUUGAAGUCUGUUUUUUAUGCUGUGUACAUAAGGUUUCUGUUUUAGUUCUAUCAUUGUCAUCUGAUCAGUAAGAAGUUGGAUUUUGAUUUUAGUACAAUGCCAAAUGAUGUGAUUCUUGGAAAACUUACUUGCUGACUUAAUUCAGGAGAAAUGUUGUUUAAAUCUUAAAUUUAAUGACAAAAAAAGAUUUCAUAUCAGGUUUAUUCAUUUGCUUUUAGGAACACUUGUAUUUCAUUUCCCCGAUGGUAGUUAAUAAUGAAGUAGGUAAAAAAAAAAGAAAACCCUGGCUUUGAGAUUCAAUCUGGGACUGUAAACAACUUCAACAGAAAAUCCUUCAUCUCAAGGGGUAUUAUCAGAUCAGAUCUAGCAUAAAGCUUUCCCCAACUUCUCCUAGCGACAGUGAUCAGGAGCUAGGUUGUAGUUGUCCAUCCAUCAAACCUCCCAAAAAUCUAAGUUUAUUCCAUCCUCCUGGUGGAGAAAAAUGGUGUUCAACAAACAUGUUGGUUUACACUGGAUAUAGACCCCACCCACGGCUUCGGCUUCGGCUUCUUCCUUUCACCACCCUACUAUAUUACAUGGUUUGUAAUGUUGAAAAUUGAUACUUAUUGAUACUUUCUUUGGAGGAAGAGAUCUGGGAGAAUUUUAUUGUUUUUUUUCUUCUAUUGAUAAACAUAUUCUUGUUUACGUUUUAACUUUUUGGAAACGGCUCGUCAUUAUGACCAAGUCUGUCCAUGUUUCUUAGAUUUGGGCGAACAAAUAUCGUCUUAGAUAUUAAUGACGCUUGUUUCUCUCUUUGUUUGUGUCAAGGGGAAGGCUUUUAUGAUCUGUUCCUGAUCUGUGUGCGCAUUUGACA